rnacentral:lncRNA from 1 species
UUUCACCACACGUUCGGUUGUUUUAGGUAUCUCACAGCCCCAAAAUGCAGCUAAGAAAAGGGCAGAGGGGGUAAUGAAUUCGGUGGCCAAAAGGACUAGAACCAUGGAAUACAAACCAUCCCUUUGUCUUUUAGUCACCCUAGGAAGAAAGAGUUACAAUGAUUAAUAACAUAAAUAAGCAGAGGGCAUAUAUGGAAAUAACAGAAUCCAGAACACCCAAGGUUUCCCCACCUUAAGUUUUCCCGGCCUUGGCUUUCCACAUCUGCAACAAUCGCCCCUUCAGCUCUCCAAUCUACUUCCUCACCUUUGCAACCCUCCCUGCAGUAGUCCCCCAAUGGAGCCCUUUCCCCUGUAAACCCUCUGCAGCCCAGCCUCUACCCAUUCUGAUGCGGACAUCCAUUUAUUAUUUAUUUUCUAUUUGGACUAUUAGUUAUAUUUUAUUUGGACUAUUGUUUAUGUUUUCGCUAUUGGGCUUGCUUAGUGGAUUUGGCCCAAGCCCUUCUCUUUAGGGUUUGUGUUCUGCUAUUUAUUUCUGUUUUGUUUCUCAUUUGAGACAGUUGAUGAUGAAUUAGAAUUGAAAUAUUUUUGGUGGCUUGCAGCCGUUUUCUCCCUCCCCUCUCUUCCCCUGGUUUCUUCUCCUCUUCUCCAUUCUCUCUGUUUCUCCUCCCCGUUCCUUCUUCUUUCUUUCUUAUUCAUCCUACAUCAAAUUUGGUAUCAGAGCUAAAUCUUGGGUAUUUUUCUCUUAUAAUUCAAAAUUUUCUUCUUUCCCUUUUCCCAAAACUUGUUGAACAGCAGAAACAAAAAGGAUUUGUUGGAAGAUAGUAGUUUUCCUUCCUAGGUCAAAAAAAAAAAAAAAAAAAAUUUAUUGUUCAUUGUGGGUACUGUUACGCCCAGAAUUUCAGUUUUGCGAUCUGUCAAUUUCCACAAAAAAAAAAAAAAAAACUGUUCCCGGGUACUGUUCAUCCGCGGGGAAAAAAAAAUCCGAGUUGUUAUGUUACUGCUGCUACUUCCUACAAACCCUAAUCCAUACACACAAUCAAUUAUUAAUCCAAAUAGCCCAUUAUAACACCUAGUCAAAUAUUCUAGUCUCCAAAUCAUUUAACUCGUUACUCAGACUUAAUCUACAUCGACAUAAUCAUAAGUAGCCCAAGUCCUAGAGGCCAUUAUCCACAUCUCAUAUUCAGCCCAAUAAGGUCAUUACAUCAACCCAAUUAUCCAAUCUGGCCAAUAACCCAAUCCCCAGCCCAUUUAUCACAUAUUUAGCCCAACUAACCCAACCUACUCUCUACGACCCAGGCCCACUCUCUAAACACUAACCCAAACUGGCCCAUCUCUAUAACAGGAUCUAAACCCCUUCCCAUUUGGCCCAGUCCCAAAUAUCCGACCAAGCCCGAUUAUAACCAAUCAAUUAACAUCAAAUACCUCACAGUUUCACCCGAUUCCUCUCUCACAACCACUCUCUUGCUGCCAUCGCCUCUAAUCACCAUCACGCUACCACUUCAUUAUCUAUUGUACCCAGGCAUCUAGAGCACUAUCGCUUCAUCGCCAUAGGCCACCACCACCAACCCAAGAUCAUACACUUCCACCACAGUUACCACACUCAUAUAUUUCCUCGUCCAUCUCAACAAUCUAAAAGCCACAGUCACCACACUUAAUUUUACGUCCACACCAGAGCCAACACAAGUUACAGUCAACAGAGGUUAAAACCAUUGGACACGAAGGGAAGAACAGAAGCAUAGUUGGGGCUUAUAAGUUGGCAAUUCAAAUCAAGCGGCAUACAAAUAAUCAAACUAAACUACAGGGAGUUGCUAUCUCCUAAUUCUCAUUGGUUUAUACUGCUGUUUUAUUUUAAAAGUGCAUCACUUAGAUUCUUUGUGUUGC